GCCACGGUAGCUCAGCUGGUAGAGCGCUUGCCUGAAGAGCAGGGCGUCGGCGGUUCAAUCCCGUCCUGUGGCACCA
rnacentral:tRNA from 1 species